rnacentral:RNase_P_RNA from 1 species
GUGAGCUAGCGAGCGGGUUACUCGAAAGAGAGGAAACUCCUCCCUCACUGCAGGCACCCAAAUUAGCGAUAAUUAACUGGAGACAGUUGGCGCCGGAACAGAAAAGAUAUCCAGCCACAUAAACACAAUGAUGGUGAAUAGCCUGAGAUUUGUGAUACAGGAUUGAAACUGCCGUCCUGGGUGGAGCAAGGCCAAACAGAGCUUAAAAGUCCUGCACUUGCUCAGGUUGGCCGCUCAGCGGAAUCCCGCAUAGAACAGAAGGAGGGUUACUACUAGCACAC